GCUCGUCUGGUUGCUCGUGGUUUUCGACAGUGUUUUGGACUUGACUAUGAAGACACCUUCAGUCCAGUGGUCAAGCCUACUACCAUCAGACUUCUCUCUCUGGCUGUUACUCGAGGUUGGUUUCUUCGUCAGCUUGAUGUUCAAAAUGCUUUUCUUCAUGGUGUCUUGGCGGAGGAGGUUUACAUGCGCCAGCCUCCGGGUUUCUCUGAUCCGGAUCGCCCUGAUCAUCUCUGUCGUCUGUCCAAGGCAAUUUAUGGUCUGAAGCAAGCUCCUCGUGCUUGGCAUGCUCGUCUUGCAAUGGCUCUUCGUGCUCAUGGUUUUGCAUCAUCAACUGCUGACUCC
rnacentral:rRNA from 1 species